AAGUCGUAACAAGGUUUCCGUAGGUGAACCUGCGGAAGGAUCAUUAACACGUAUCCAAACGUUAAACCCCCCUGUGAACCUUCACCUGUACUCGUACGUCCGUUAGAAAAAGCAGCAAUCCCUGGUAAAUCAUCGCCGAACAGUUUUCGAUUCAGAGGAGCGUGCAUGUUGUGCGAGCAAGUGGCCUGGCAUCCCCAAGCAGUUAGUGUCUGAAAGUGUCAUUAACUGUGUAAGGAUGACGCAGUCACGAUCGUUGGAGGCCCACACGGCCGACGACCGGGUCACUGGGCGCAAGCCCCCCUAUAACAAACGCUGCUAAUCGCGGCCGCGAUAAUACGCAGUCGACCAAAAACCGAACAACUGUUAACAAUGGAUAUCUUGGUUCUC
rnacentral:misc_RNA from 1 species